rnacentral:lncRNA from 1 species
CCUAGCACAAGAGAACUUCUACCAGCAGAUCUCAGACAUGAAAAUGAAAACCUAGGACUGCUAUGGAUUUUUUUUUUUUUUCCCAGAGGGAUAAAGACCAGGAAUUUUCUGAAACACAAACAUAAUGAUAGAAUAUUUUUUCACAAUAACUCCGGUAAAUUUUUUUUAGGUAAUUUAUUCACUGAUACAUGCCAGGGCAAGAGUUACAAAUCAGAAGUGUAUCUGCAAGGCAGAUUAUUUAUCUCCAAAGGAAACUCUUGCCAACUGAUCCCAGGCAGAAGAUUGGCUUUGGUUCUGCAAGCAGCUGCUCAUCUUCCCACUUUGCUGGAGAUUGAGUUAUAUAUACUACAUCUUAUUCACCUAAAAAGAAACAGUGUGACCACAAGUUAACCUUGAAAUAUGUGAACUCUUGGAAAUCUACACAACUCUUAUAGCCAACAAAAAAUAAAUCUACUGAUGAG